CCGAACCCACUUCUGUUGAAAAAGUAGGGGAUGACCUGUGGCUAGGGGUGAAAGGCCAAUCAAACCCGGAGAUAGCUGGUUCUCCGCGAAAACUAUUUAGGUAGUGCGUUAUGAGUGACUGUCGGGGGUAGAGCACUGAAUAGACUAGGGGGAAGCGAUUCCUACCGAAUCUAAUCAAACUCCGAAUACCGACAAGUUUAAUCAUGGCAGACAGACCAUGGGUGCUAAGGUCUAUGGUCGAGAGGGAAAGAGCCCAGAUCGUCGACUAAGGUCCCGAAGUUAUGGCUAAGUGGGAAAGGAUGUGGAAUGUCCAAAACAGCCAGGAGGUUGGCUUAGAAGCAGCCAUCCUUUAAAGAAAGCGUAACAGCUCACUGGUCUAGUUAAGAUGUUCUGCGCCGAAGAUGUAACGGGGCUAAAGCCAUACACCGAAGUCACGGAUUCAUAGAGAGUGGAAUCUUUAUGAGUGGUAGCGGAGCGUUCUGUAAGCCUGCGAAGGUGGUCCCGUGAGGGGCGCUGGAGGUAUCAGAAGUGAGAAUGCUGACAUGAGUAACAGAAAGAGAGGUGGAAGGCCUCUCCGCCGAAAAUCCAAGGUUUCCUACGCAAUGAUAAUCAACGUAGGGUUAGUCGGCCCCUAAGGCGAGGGCGAAAGCCGUAGUCGAUGGGAACAUGGUUAAUAUUCCAAGACCUGCUUGAAGUGACGAAGGACGUAAGUUAUUGAGGUUGUAACGGAUGACCGAGGUAGCGAAGUACUUCCGGGAAAUAGCUCAAGCGAAAAGACCGUACCGUAAACCGACACAGGUGGGUGAGUAGAGAAUACUAAGGCGUUUGAAACAACGAUGUUGAAGGAACUCGGCAAAAUGCUCUUGUAACUUCGGAAGAAGAGAGACCUAAGAUUGGGCAACCAGUGUUAGGUGGCACAAGCCAGGGGGUGGCGACUGUUUAGCAAAAACACAGGACUCUGCGAAUUCGAAAGAUGAUGUAUAGGGGCUGACGCCUGCCCGGUGCUGGAAGGUUAAGAGGAGGAGUGAGAGCUCUGAAUUGAAGCCCCAGUAAACGGCGGCCGUAACUAUAACGGUCCUAAGGUAGCGAAAUUCCUUGUCGGGUAAGUUCCGACCCGCACGAAUGGCGUAACGACUUCCCCGCUGUCUCCAACAUAGACUCAGUGAAAUUGAACUCUGAGUGAAGAUGCUCAGUACCCGCGGUUAGACGGAAAGACCCCGUGCACCUUUACUACAGCUUUGCAGUGGUAUUAGGAAUUUAAUGUGUAGGAUAGGUGGGAGACUAUGAAGCAGGGACGCCAGUUUUUGUGGAGUCGCCCUUGAAAUACCACCCUUUGAAUUUUUGAUAUCUAACUGAGGUCAGUGAAACCUGAUCCAGGACCCUGUAUGGUGGGUAGUUUGACUGGGGCGGUCGCCUCCGAAAGAGUAAC
rnacentral:rRNA from 1 species